rnacentral:rRNA from 1 species
UACGUAGGGUGCGAGCGUUAAUCGGAAUUACUGGGCGUAAAGCGUGCGCAGGCGGUUCGUCAAGUCUGAUGUGAAAGCCCCGGGCUCAACCUGGGAAUGGCAUUGGAAACUAGCGGGCUUGAGUGUGGCAGAGGGGGGUGGAAUUCCACGUGUAGCAGUGAAAUGCGUAGAGAUGUGGAGGAACACCGCUGGCGAAGGCAGCCCCCUGGGCUAACACUGACGCUCAUGCACGAAAGCGUGGGGAGCAAACAGG